GGGCGCGUAGCUCAGUUGGAAUGAGCGCUACCUUGACACGGUAGAGGUCAUCGGUUCGAUCCCGGUCGCGCCCA
rnacentral:tRNA from 1 species